rnacentral:tRNA from 1 species
GGGCUGGUAGUUCAGCGGUAUGAAUGCCUGGUUCGCAUCCAGGAGGUCGGGGGUUCAAAUCCCCCCCAGUCCACCA